UACGGAGGGGGCUAGCGUUGUUCGGAAUUACUGGGCGUAAAGCGCACGUAGGCGGCUUGGCAAGUCGGAUGUGAAAGCCCUCGGCUCAACCAAGGAAGUGCAUCCGAAACUGCUGAGCUUGAGUACUUAAGAGGAUCGCGGAAUUCCCGGUGUAGAGGUGAAAUUCGUAGAUAUCGGGAGGAACACCAGAGGCGAAGGCGGCACCCUGGCCUAAUACUGACACUGAGACGCGAAAGCAUGGGGAGCGAACGGG
rnacentral:rRNA from 1 species